rnacentral:rRNA from 1 species
UUUAUGGAGAGUUUGAUCCUGGCUCAGGAUGAACGCUGGCGGCGUGCCUAAUACAUGCAAGUCGAGCGAACGGAUGAGAAGCUUGCUUCUCUGAUGUUAGCGGCGGACGGGUGAGUAACACGUGGAUAACCUACCUAUAAGACUGGGAUAACUUCGGGAAACCGGAGCUAAUACCGGAUAAUAUUUUGAACC